rnacentral:rRNA from 1 species
CCUACGGGAGGCAGCAGUAGGGAAUAUUGCUCAAUGGGGGAAACCCUGAAGCAGCAACGCCGCGUGGAGGAUGAAGGUUUUAGGCUUGUAAACCUCUUUUGUGAGAGAAGCAAAUGACGGUACCUCACGAAUAAGCACCGGCUAACUCCGUGCCAGCAGCCGCGGUAAUACGGAGGGUGCAAGCGUUAUUCGGAAUCAAGGGGCGUAAAGGGUGCGCAGGCGGGCUUGUAAGUCCGGAGUGAAAUCCUGUAGCUUAACUACAGAACUGCAGUUGAAACUAGGUGUCGAGAGUGCGGGAGAGGUAGGUGGAAUGCUUGGUGUAGGGGUAAAAUCCGUAGAUAUCAAGAAGAAUACUCAUUGCGAAGGCGGCCUACUGGAACAGUACUGACGCUCAGGCACGAAAGCGUGGGGAGCAAACAGGAUUAGAUACCCGAGUAGUC